GAUGAAGAACGCAGCGAAAUGCGAUAAGUAGUGUGAAUUGCAGAAUUCAGUGAAUCAUCGAAUCUUUGAACGCACAUUGCGCCCCUUGGUAUUCCAUGGGGCAUGCCUGUUCGAGCGUCAUUUGUACCUUCAAGCUCUGCUUGGUGUUGGGUGUUUGUCUCGCCUCUGCGUGUAGACUCGCCUCAAAACAAUUGGCAGCCGGCGUGUUGAUUUCGGAGCGCAGUACAUCUCGCGCUUUGCACUCAUAACGACGACGUCCAAAAGUACAUUUUUACACUCUUGACCUCGGAUCAGGUAGGGAUACCCGCUGAACUUAAGCAUAUCAAUAAGCGGAGGA
rnacentral:misc_RNA from 1 species